ACAUAAAGUACCUUAAAAAUAGUUAUGUACCCCUGUUUAGUGUGGAAGUGGGAGGAUCUCUUGAGCCCAGGAGUUCUGGGCUGUAGUAUGCACUGCUGAUCAGGUGUCUGCACAAAGUUUGGUAUCAAUAUGAUGACCUCCGUGGAGCAGAGGACCACCAGAGUGCCUAAAGAGAGGUGAACUAGCCCAAUCCAGAAAGUGAGCAGGUCAAAACGUUCAUCUGAUCAGUAGGGGGAUCACACCUGUGAAUAGCCACUGUACUCCAGCUUGGGCAAAAUAGCAAGACCCUGUCUCA
rnacentral:SRP_RNA from 1 species